GUAGGUCAAAAGAGUUUACUAUGCACAGGAGUAUAUGAAUAGAUGGAUAGAGUCAAUACUCAAGGCAAGGGUAAGAUAAUGAUAGAUAAAGUAGUGUGACACACACAAGAAUCAUCUCAAGAUAACUAAGCUAGGGAGAAGGACUAAGAGUUAGCUCUAGGUUCAUAUGUACUUCCUAUAUACUGCACAGAUCAUACAAGCAUAACAUACAUACACAUUGUAUAGGACUCUGGCCUAUGCACCCAGGCACACACGGGGAGACAGUACCCGUACCGGUUUCACCCGGCAAAGUUAGUACUAAUUUAUUAACUCCUACAGCGUACCCGAACGUAGGGGAUUACAAAGGACGGACAGGGCUAUCACCACCUGCCGCCUACCCCUAGCAGACCGUGGGGUAAACUCAUAUCCAAUGAAACUAAGCAAUCCAAGUAAACAUGCUUGCAUUGUUAACAACACUCCACCAUACCGG
rnacentral:lncRNA from 1 species